CACUUUAUUUGAUGUACAUUAUACAUAACUACGUUAAAGUGUAGCUAACAUAUGUACAGUAAGAGUGAGACCUAUCAGCUAGUUGUUAAGGUAAUGGCUUAACAAGGCAAUAACGGGUAACGGUAUUACUUUGUAAUAUUCCGGAGAAGGAGCCUGAGAGACGGCUACUAAGUCUAAGGAUUGCAGCAGGGGCGAAACUUGACCUAUGGAUAUUAUCUGAGGCAGUUAUGGGAAGUAACAUAGUUGUUUCACAUUUUAAACGUAUGUGAGCAGAUUAAUUGGAGGGCAAAUCGAGUGC
rnacentral:rRNA from 1 species